UUUCUGUNGCUCGGGCACGUACUAUCGCCAGUGAGUCUUUACCGAGGCAUAGUCUUUGCUGAUUGCAAAUUACACAUCCGAACCCGUCUGUUAGCUUCGGCUUUCAGCAAUUCGGGAGAUUUGAAGAGAA
rnacentral:snRNA from 1 species